CGUGUAGGCGGCUAUUCAAGUCAGGGGUGAAAGGCCUGGGCUCAACCUGGGAACUGCCUUUGAAACUGAAUGGCUUGAGACCGGAAGAGGAUGGCGGAAUUCCCAGUGUAGAGGUGAAAUUCGUAGAUAUUGGGAAGAACACCGGUGGCGAAGGCGGCCAUCUGGUCCGGUUCUGACGCUGAGGCGCGAAAGCGUGGGGAGCAAACA
rnacentral:rRNA from 1 species